GGAAAGAUGUCCGAGUGGUUUAAGGUACACGCUUGGAAGGCGUGCAUACCAGAAAUGGUAUCCGGGGUUCGAAUCCCCGUCUUUCCG
rnacentral:tRNA from 1 species